GGAGAGUCUCUCAGCUGGUACAGUUUUAGAGCUAGAAAUAGCAAGUUAAAAUAAGGCUAGUCCGUUAUCAACUUGAAAAAGUGA
rnacentral:misc_RNA from 1 species